GGGGAUGUAGCUCAGCUGGGAGAGCGUACGGUUCGCAUCCGUAAGGUCGAGAGUUCAAUCCUCUUCAUCUCCACCA
rnacentral:tRNA from 1 species